rnacentral:tRNA from 1 species
GCUCCUGUAGUGUAGCCCGGUCAAUCACCAUGGGUUCUCAGCCCGUUAACCUGAGUUCAAAUCUCAGCAGGAGCG